UACGUAGGGUGCAAGCGUUGUCCGGAAUUAUUGGGCGUAAAGAGCUCGUAGGCGGUCUGUUGCGUCGGCUGUGAAAACCCGGGGCUCAACUCCGGGCCUGCAGCCGAUACGGGCAGACUAGAGUUCGGCAGGGGAGACUGGAAUUCCUGGUGUAGCGGUGAAAUGCGCAGAUAUCAGGAGGAACGCCGGUGGCGAAGGCGGGUCUCUGGGCCGAUACUGACGCUGAGGAGCGAAAGCGUGGGGAGCGAACAGG
rnacentral:rRNA from 1 species